rnacentral:rRNA from 1 species
AUGAAUUCCAUAGUGUGGAACUGCCGUGGUGCGGGGAACGCCUCGACAGUUCGCGACAUCGUGGCUCUGACUCGAGCCCAUUCCCCAAGUAUGGUUUUCUUAUGUGAAACUAGACAGCAAAAGGAUAAGAUGUAUCGUCUUCGUAACAGAAUUGGUCUACGUGGCUUUGAAGGAGUUAGUAGUGAGGGUAAUAGUGGAGGUCUAGCCUUGUUUUGGGAUGAGUCCUUGUACGUUGAUAUGUUCGGUUGCCUGCUGAUGAUCAAGUGUGCAGAAUUACCUUUACAUAUGGGGAGCCGAGAACAGAGAAUAGACAUUUGA